rnacentral:rRNA from 1 species
AUGUUUAUCUUAUUAUCUCUAUCUGAUCUCACUUUUGCAAGUGACUAUGAAGGGAUUGACAACCCCUUUAUCGCGUUGGUUGCAAGGUUCUUAUUUGUUUGUGUAGGUGCGAGGUGA